AGUUAGUGAAGAUAUAAAUCUUACUAAACGAAACGCAUGGACACUUUCUUUGACACCUUUUUAUAUGGGUUCUUAGACUCGAACGAAUUUAUCAUUUAAGAUCUCAGGUGUUUGAGGCUCUCAAGGUCACUAUUUGAAAGAUACACUCAACCUUGGGCUAGUUCAAGCAAGCACAGUUACUCUGGUACCUUAAACCUCUUCACGCGUUUUUCGGCUGAAUGCACGAUUCACCAAAAUUAAGCUGCAAGCACACCCAACACCGAAACUUCUCCCUGCCAUUUAACAUUCAUUCAUAAGAGAUUGGAAAGAUUGCAGACAGAAUAUCAGAGGUGAAGAGAUUUAAGAAGAAUGCAAGAAUGGUUGUGGGGAAUUUAGAAUGGAGGCUGUGGGUUAUAAGGAAUUUGAGGCCAUGAGUUUCAAAAUUCCUCAGUUAGAUUAUUCUUCCAACGAUGUAUAUGGUGAAACGAGAUGGUCGUCAAGAAGCAGUGCAUUUCGACAAGAUCACUGCCCGUCUGAAGAAACUAAGUUAUGGCCUCAACAUCGAUCAAUGUGAUCCAGUUUUGGUCUCCCAGAUAGUCUGUGUUGGAGUUUACAAGGGCAUACCACUAGCCAGCUUGAUGAAUUGGCCGUUGAAAUGGUUACUUGCAAAUUUAUCCGUGGGAUUGGUAAUUGAUAGCCUUGAAACUGAAAAGGGCCUACAGUCAUGCAUUUUGUUGUUUUUACUUGUUAGUUCGACACUCAACAAUAAUUGCCAAAUUGUUGAUUGUGCAUGGUAGCCUAAAUCUUGAAUUGCUUUGCAAUGUUGUAUGAUCAAGUGAAACUUUAUGUUAUAUAAGUUUCUUUGGGCCAGUUUGAUAAGAGUUUGAAUUGGGUUUCAAAUUCAAAUGGUUCGCUUAGGAUAGAAAAUGCAAGUGUUUAUCUACAAAUUUUACGUGUGGUCAGUUUCAGGCAAAACUCGUAUACUUUUACUUGGUUCUUAGCGAGCAGAGCAGAGCGCACAAAAGUCGACCAUAACUUUUGAAGAAUUAGCAAAAGUUGAAGUGAGCGACUAAACAUUUUACUUGGUGCUUACUUUCUCAUCAUGAUGGAUAACAGAGUCAAGAAUGCCUCUCUAUAAUAGCUAUUGCUUUAGCUAAAGAAGGAAGCGCAUAUCAAGCAACUGGUUGCUAUAAUUUGCUAUGUUCUGGAAUCAAUAAUGAAAUAACAAUGGAUGCUAGAAUUUUUCCUAUUUCUUCGUACAAAAGUUCUCAAUGUGACGUUUGCUUGCUCAUUUGGAAGUGCAAGUUGGCUUUGAGGUGGUCGAGUGUGCAUAUAUGAUGAAGCUGGAUGGACUAAAGGACUUCUACAUCCAUGUUGGUAGGCCUUUGUACUAGAAAUAUGGUCAUGCUUUUGAGGCAUUCAAGAUCACCAUAACUCACUCUGACUCUGUGUUGAAUUCUCUCAUUCGUGAAGUCAAUGGAGCUGGUCCUGAUGGUCAGGAUGUAGCCUUGGUCCUUACAAAUUGAGGUGCUAUUCUCUCAAAGUUGGUUGUCCCUAACUGUGUAUGGUAUGCAUUAUAUUUAAUUUCUUU